UAUCACCGGCAUCACGAGGGCUGCACUGUCUCCUCUCUUCAAUCAGUGAAACUGAUCCUCCCGUGAAGAAGCGGGAAUUUAAUUAUAAGACGAGAAGACCCCAUGGAGCUUUAAACAACGUACUUACACUAUAUAAAUACACCACUUAACUAAAAGCCCUGAGUACAAGUUUUAGGUUGGGGAGACCGCGGAGAACAACUAAACCUCCACGACAAACGGCCCAGGCCCUUAUCCACGAGCCACAACUCUAAGAAUCAGCACACUGAUGAUUAUGACCCGAUACUAUUCGACUAACGAACCAAGUUACCCUGGGGAUAACAGCGCAAUCUACUUCAAGAGUCCAUAUCGACAAGUAGGUUUACGACCUCGAUGUUGG
rnacentral:rRNA from 1 species